UGUUUCUUGGCCGGUUGGCAAGAUACUGCGUUACAUUUAAGCGCCCACGGGUUGUUUAAGGGAGGUUCUUUCUAUAUUUGCGAUUACCCUGGCAAUAUGUCUCCGGGCUGUAAGAGAGCAACAUCGCCUCAGACUCUGAAAUAGCCAGCCACAAAUUCAGCAACCCCCGCCCACCCAUCUCAGUUCUUACGUCUAGGCUGGGAAGUACUUCCUCUGCACAAGGGCAGAAUGGUGACAUUUUCAUUUCUUACUAUCGGGUUCUACGUUCAACCUUGGCCCCUCCUAGUCUCGACUGUUCCAGUAAAAACGCCUUGGGGGACAAUGAAGUGCCUUUGAACCCCCGUGAUAUGCAAGGUUUUUCUAGAUUCUGAAAUUCUGAAUGCUCCGUUCAGAGGGUAAAAACGGGAAAAGGCAGCUUGAGGGAAAUGGACCUUGCUCCUUGAAAGCAACUGUUUGACUUCUGCUCACCACCUAACUCCAGACUGUAAAUCUUAGAACUUAGUGCAUAAGGAAUUGCAGCUAUAAAGCCACAUUUUACUAUGCUGCCACACCCUGGAAAACUACCUUUCAGCAGUAUCAUAAUUAUAUAUUUCACAAGCAAAAAAGUAUCAUGUUUUCAGAACAAUUACAUUUUUAUUCCUUUUUUUGCUUCGUUUGCUGACUUGCUUGUGGAAUCUUUGCGGAAUUCAGCAUUUUUAAAAAUGCCUACAUUUCAAAAAGCAUGCACCAGCCAGAUAUACUGAAGGAGUUGUACUGUAUUAAAUUGCACCAACAUUGAGAGCAGUGGUUUCCCAGACUUUUUGGUUGAAGGAUCUGUUUCAAAUGGAUCAAAAAUCAUGGGCAGCUCCAUCUAAAAUGUACAAUAAAAAAGUAAUAAUAAGAAAA